UUCGUAGGUGGCCACUUAAGUCAGACGUGAAAUCCCUCAGCUUAACUGGGGAACUGCGUCUGAUACUGAGUGGCUUGAGUGCAGGAGAGGAAUGCGGAAUUCCAGGUGUAGCGGUGAAAUGCGUAGAUAUCUGGAGGAACACCGGUGGCGAAGGCGGCAUUCUGGACUGUAACUGACACUGAGGAACGAAAGCCAGGGGAGCAAACG
rnacentral:rRNA from 1 species